AGAGUUUGAUCCUGGCUCAGGAUGAACGCUAGCUACAGGCUUAACACAUGCAAGUCGAGGGGAAACGACAUCGAAAGCUUGCUUUUGAUGGGCGUCGACCGGCGCACGGGUGAGUAACGCGUAUCCAACCUGCCCACCACUUGGGGAUAACCUUGCGAAAGUAAGACUAAUACCCAAUGAUAUCUCUAGAAGACAUCUGAAAAGAGAUUAAAGAUUUAUCGGUGAUGGGUGGGAUGCGUCUGAUUAGCUUGUUGGCGGGGUAACGGCCCACCAAGGCUACGAUCAGUAGGGGUUCUGGAGAGGAAGGUCCCCCACGAUUGGAACUGAGACACGGUCCAAACUCCGUACGGGAGGCA
rnacentral:rRNA from 1 species